GUCUCUUUAGCGCAAUGGUUAGCGUGUUGGACUUCUAAUCCAUCUGUCGUGGGUUCAAAUCCCACAUGGAAUG